AAUUGCUGUCAUAUCACACUGAACAUACCUGAUUGCAUCUGAUAUUUUAAACUAAGCAGGAUUGGGCCAGGUUAGUAAUUG
rnacentral:rRNA from 1 species